UCCGCGGGCCGUGACUGGCGCGCUGGGAUGGGACGGACCAUCGGGGAGCGGCCCGAGCGGUAAAGAGUGCCGUGCGCCUGGGCCGAACGU
rnacentral:ncRNA from 1 species